rnacentral:rRNA from 1 species
AUUGAACGCUGGCGGCAUGCCUAACACAUGCAAGUCGAACGACAGGCGGACGGGCGAGUCAUGUCUUGGAAACUGCCUGAUCGAGGGGUCUAACCUCUGGAAACCGUCGCUAAUACCGCAUAACAUCGGAUGUGCCCAGAUGGGAUUAGCUAGUAGGUGGGGUAAAGGCUCACCUAGGCGACGAUCCAUAGCUGGUCUGAGAGGAUGACCGGCCACACUGGAACUGAGGCACGGUCCAGACACCUACGGGAGGCCGCAGUGGGGAAUAUUGCACAAUGGACGAAAGCCUGAUGCAGCAAGGCCGAGUGUGUGAAGAAGGCCUUCGGAUUGUAAAGUACUUUAAGAGGGGAGGCGUUACCCAUAGAUUAAGCACCGGCUAAAUCCGUGCCAGCCGCCGCGGUAAUUC